rnacentral:rRNA from 1 species
GACGAACGCUGGCGGCAUGCCUAACACAUGCAAGUCGAACGGGCGGCGGACGGGUGAGUAAUGGCUGGGCAACUGCCUGAUGUAGGGGUAUAACUAGGGUAACAGGUAGCUAAUACCGCAUACCAUGCGAUGGGCCCAGAUGGGAUUAGCUAGUCGGUGGGGUAACGGCUCACCUAGGCGAAGAUUCCUAGCUGGUCUGAGAGGCUGAUCGGCCACACUGGAACUGAGACACGGCCCAGACUCCUACGGGAGGCAGCAGUAGGGAAUAUUGGACAAUGGGCGAAAGCCUGAUGCAGCAAUGCCGCGUGUGUGAAGAAGGUUUUCGGAUUGUAAAGUUCUGUUGGCGGGGAGGCGUUAUCUGAAGAAGAAGCACCGGCUAACUACGUGCCAGCAGCCGCGGUAAUUC